rnacentral:rRNA from 2 species
GUUAUUGGGUAUCAAAACCUAAUAGCGAAAUUAACAUAACUUUUUAUGGGAUUAGUUUUUAGAUUAUUUAUAGUCUAUUAAUUCAAUCCCGGGGCGUUCUAUAUAGUUAUGUAUAAUAAUAUUUAUAUUAUUUAUACCUCUAACUAGAGCGUACCUUGAGCAUAUAUGCUGUGACCCGAAAGAUGGUGAACUAUACUUGAUCAGGUUGAAGUCAGGGGAAACCCUGAUGGAAGACCGAAACAGUUCUGACGUGCAAAUCGAUUGUCAGAAUUGAGUAUAGGGGCGAAAGACCAAUCGAACCAUCUAGUAGCUGGUUCCCUCCGAAGUUUCCCUCAGGAUAGCUGGUGCAUUUAAAUAUUAUGUAAAAUAAUCUUAUCUGGUAAAGCGAAUGAUUAGAGGCCUUAGGGUCGAAACGACCUUAACCUAUUCUCAAACUUUAAAUGGGUAAGAACCUCACCUUUCUUGGUAUGAAGGUUGUGGUUGUGAUAUAAUGUGCCCAGUGGGCCACUUUUGGUAAGCAGAACUGGCGCUGUGGGAUGAACCAAACGUAAUGUUACGGUGCCCAAAUUAACAACUCAUGCAGAUACCAUGAAAGGCGUUGGUUGCUUAAAACAGCAG